ACACGACUACAUUAGAUACCCCGGUAGUCCUAGCCGUAAACGAUACUCGCUAGGUGUCGGCCACGGUGCGACCGUUGUCGGUGCCGUAGGGAAGCCGUGAAGCGAGCCACCUGGGAAGUACGGCCGCAAGGAUGAAACUUAAAGGAAUUGGCGGGGGAGCACCGCAACGGGAGGAGCGUGCGGUUCAAUUGGAUUCAACGCCGGACAACUCACCAGGAGCGACGGUUACAUGAAGGCCAGGCUGAUGACCUUGCCUGAUUUUCCG
rnacentral:rRNA from 1 species